CUACGGGAUGCACCAGUAAGGAAUAUUGCGCAAUGGAGGCAACUCUGACGCAGCCAUGCCGCGUGCAGGAAGAAGGCCUUAUGGGUCGUAAACUGCUUUUAUUUAGGAAUAAACCCUCGCUCGUGAGCGAGGCUGAAGGUACUGAAUGAAUAAGCACCGGCUAACUCCGUGCCAGCAGCCGCGGUAAUACGGAGGGUGCAAGCGUUAUCCGUGAUUUAUUGGGUUUAAAGGGUGCGCAGGCGGGCUAUUAAGUCAGUGGUGAAAUCCCGGGGCUCAACUCCGGAACGGCCAUUGAUACUGAUGGUGUUGUGAAAUUUUAAAGGGUGCAGAGUGUAGCAUGUCGAUGAGUUAUGCAUAGAUAUGCUCUAGAACUCCAAUCGCGAAGGCAGAUCACGAAUACAAAACUGACGCUCAUGCACUAAAGCGUUGGAAUCUAACAGGUUCAGAUACUUUACUCUUC
rnacentral:rRNA from 1 species